CGCCGCCAAGGGGAGUUUCCAGGAAGUGGCCAUAUUGGAUCCAUUCAGCCGCAGCCGCCCGGGCGGAGCGCGUCCCGCAGCCGGCUGGUCCCCGUCGCGGCCCGGGUGCUCGCCCCGGCCCGCCCGCCCGGUGCGGAGCUAGCCAUGGCGGCCACUGACCUGGAGCGCUUCUCGAAUGCAGAGCCAGAGCCCCGGAGCCUCUCCCUUGGUGGCCACGUGGGCUUUGAUAGCCUCCCGGACCAGCUCGUCAGCAAGUCAGUCACACAGGGCUUCAGCUUUAAUAUCCUCUGCGUGGGGGAGACUGGCAUUGGCAAGUCCACGCUCAUGAACACGCUCUUCAACACGACCUUCGAGACCGAGGAAGCCAGUCAUCAUGAAGAGUGUGUGCGCCUGCGGCCCCAGACCUACGACCUCCAAGAGAGCAACGUGCACCUCAAGCUGACCAUCGUGGAUGCUGUGGGCUUUGGGGAUCAGAUCAAUAAGGAUGAGAGUUACAGGCCCAUAGUUGACUACAUCGAUGCGCAGUUUGAAAACUACCUGCAGGAGGAGCUGAAGAUCCGCCGCUCACUCUUCGACUACCACGACACGAGGGUCCACGUCUGCCUCUACUUUAUCACGCCCACUGGGCACUCCCUCAAGUCCCUGGAUCUGGUGACCAUGAAGAAACUAGACAGCAAGGUGAACAUUAUUCCCAUCAUUGCCAAGGCUGACACCAUCUCCAAGAGUGAGCUCCACAAGUUCAAGAUCAAGAUCAUGGGCGAGCUGGUCAGCAAUGGGGUUCAGAUCUACCAGUUUCCCACUGAUGAUGAGGCUGUUGCCGAGAUUAACGCAGUCAUGAACGCGCACUUGCCCUUCGCUGUGGUAGGCAGCACUGAGGAGGUGAAGGUGGGGAACAAGCUGGUCCGAGCACGGCAGUACCCAUGGGGAGUGGUGCAGGUGGAGAAUGAGAACCACUGUGACUUUGUGAAGCUCCGGGAGAUGUUGAUCAGAGUGAACAUGGAGGACCUCCGAGAACAGACCCACAGUCGGCACUACGAGCUGUACCGGCGCUGCAAGCUGGAGGAGAUGGGCUUCCAGGACAGCGAUGGUGACAGCCAGCCCUUCAGUCUGCAGGAGACUUACGAGGCCAAGCGCAAGGAGUUCCUGAGUGAGCUGCAGAGGAAGGAGGAAGAGAUGAGGCAGAUGUUCGUCAACAAAGUGAAGGAGACAGAGCUGGAGCUGAAGGAGAAGGAGAGGGAGCUGCACGAGAAGUUUGAGCACCUCAAGCGGGUCCACCAGGAGGAGAAGCGCAAGGUGGAGGAGAAGCGCAGGGAGCUGGAGGAGGAGACUAGCGCCUUCAACCGCAGGAAGGCCGCGGUGGAGGCCCUGCAGUCCCAGGCCUUGCACGCCACCUCGCAGCAGCCUCUGAGGAAGGACAAGGACAAGAAGAACUUGGUCUGGGCCAUCUUGUUUCAGAAAAGACAGGCAGAAUCUCCUAGGAGAUAAACUAUGGAGAAACUACUCAGACACUGAAGACACGGACGUGUGGCCAGGACAGGGCCAGGAGGUGGGGUGCAGGCUGGCUGCAAGGGCACCAGCACAGCUCUCGGGUUAACGCACGCACAGACUUACAUGUCAAGAGCGGACUUUAGACUUUCAUGUGUUAAGUUGCUUGAGUUACACCUUGUGACCCUUCUUCUCCCAUAACAUGGUGUGAGGACGGACUGGGAGCCGGUACAGACUCCAGUGUUUACAGCCUUGCUUUGUCCCCUACCCCCACCCCCAGGCUGCCCUGGGCCUGGUGGGCCACCCUCUCUAUGCAAACACGUCAAAGCCAUGAAUGCUGGAAUCCAAAACUGACAAGGUUUAUUUUUUUCAGAGCCAGUGGCUGGUCUUCCAUUUACAGUGUCACUAUUCCUUGACGGAGCAGUUAUGUGCCGCUCUAGCGAAGGCCCCAGCCGGCGAUGCUCGGCCUAAUUGUUCAGCGUCAAGAUGGCAACUCAUGCGGUGCCCUAGGUGUGGCCGCGUGGUCUGGUAUACAUGCUGCAAAAUUCGCUCGAUUCCCCCUCAGUUUAAUUUUUCUAACCUAGAGCUUAAUUUCAAUAAUAACUUUUAAGAUACUUCUAAAUUUUUAUUUUGGCACAAGCGUAAAGACAAAUAAUAUCCUCUCCCGUUAUUUUCAUAAGUAACCCAGAUUCCCUCAUUUUUUAAAAACUAAAAAUAUCUCUAAACCUUUCUUAUGUAUAAAGUAUCCCUAUAAUAUUUAGGGAGAGGUGGGUAAUAAACAUCCUGUGAUGACAGUGUUUGGAAUUUCUUUAUGGAUGAAAGUGGGACACGGAGGAGACCCCAUGCAGUGUUUUAAAUGUGGACGUAAAUGGAACAGCAGCCCAAAGCCGUUGUCUGUGUUCUCCACAGGUGCUACCCAUACACAGGGACCACUCCACGUGUUGUGUUAAGUGUUUGACUCCAACUAAGACCCCCCCCCCCCUCCAAACCAAUCCUGCAUAUUCCAAAUGCAAAGAGUACUCUGCCGGGAAAAGGUCGUUUUUUUAUCUCAAGGUCGUUGUUUUCUGUUUUCCUGGCCGACUCACAAGGCAAAGACACGAAGGUGUCUGAUGUAUGUGGACUAUUUGAGAAAACACUACCAGCCAAGCAGCUUUCCCACCUCCACUGCGUUCUUCAGGGGAUCAUUGUGAGGAAGUACUGGCAGUAUUGAUUCUCCGAUGUUCCUGUUGGUCUGCGAGCCACUGCGAGUAUCAGGGCUGAGAAUAUGGUGUGAUGAAAUAGAUAAAAAAUGAGUAGAUGAAAGGAUUUCAUUUAAUGUUGAUGGAGCACUGUGCUAGAUACAGUGUACUCAGAAUAACACGCAGCCCUGCCCUCAGGCAGCUCACAGUCUAGUGCACUCCCUAGUCGGAAGCCUUGGGAAGUCGCGCUAAUUUAUUGUCGGAUUGGUCGUUUGUUUUUCAUGUCCUCUGUCCUCCUUCCCAUUGCUGUUUCCCCCUUUCUGCCUUGGCCUGCUUUACUGAUUUCCGGGACCAAGUCCUGGCUUCGUCCUGCCCUUCUGAGAUGGGGCUCCAUUCAGAGUGGGGAGGAGGGGCGAGCCGUGUGUGUGUCCCCAGAGGCACAGCAGGAAAAAGGCAGCCUUGUCCUCCUCACCAGGAGCAGAGAAGGUCUUACGGAUGUCCGGAGUGCAACUGCUCGAAGUGUCAUGCCGUGACCAGGGGUGGAUCCAGAUUGUAAGGGGCUUCAGUGUGGGCAUUCAAAAGGCCAAUCAGCGUAUACCUAAGGCACAUGUGGACUGUUGGUGGCUUGACUUUAGGGGGAUUAUAUGUGUGAGAGUGUAUUCAUUUUGGCUGAGGCAUGACCUGUAAGAUCUCCUCUGUCAGCUAAUGUAUUUCUGAAGAUGAGGCUCAGUGACCCAGAGGAUUCGCUGGUUAUAUAAGAAACAGAGAUUCCUGGUUCACGGGCCGAUUUGGGGACUCUGGAGUGGACAGCUCCUGCCACCCAUUCACCACAGCCUGUGGGCUGCAGCUCGGGCAUACUGGAAGGUCGGAACUGUGGCUGGUUACCUUCCUAUGGGUGCAGGGCUUCCCAGCAUCUCUCAGGAUACCUGUCACUCUUAACACUUUCUGGGGUCUGAGCUGCUUCCACAGGUACCAUCGGCUCUAGUGAGCCUUGCCACCCUUCUCUCCCUGGGCUAUUUGUGUUUGUAAGUUUAUCAUCUUCAGCUGAGACCAAAUUAAUCCUUGAUGCACAAAAUGAGCUUAAAACGUGCCGUUAUUUAACAAGCUACCCCGUCCGGGAUGUGACCCUUGUAGUCAGGAUCUGAUUUGCCUCUCCUUUUCAGAAUCAUCUUUUAGCAUUAUUAGGAGUGUCAGUGGGGUCAUGCUGGCAUUUAUGAUCAUGUCUCUCAUGAGCUACGUUGGUUUUGGGUAGAAUCAUGUAAUUUAUUGUCCAAACUGAGACUUUUCAGAGUGAAAGCAGGUCCUGUUAAUAAUCAUGCCAGAUCAACAGGUGUAAGCUGGAACGGUCUCAGGCGAACCGGCAUGAAUGGUUACCCUGGUGAUGGGUAACCCGAAUGGAGGUGGUUUGUAAUUGUGCAGACUGACUGCAUAUAUGUUUCCAUGUGUCUGUGUGUGGGUGCUCGUUAAGUGGGGCUCAUAUUACUGGAUAAGAGGCCCAAGGGAAGUGUGGCUUGCUCGUCUGUUACGUUAACAUGCUUUUCUAAAACUGCUUCACCUGUUAAUUCAUUUACUCCUUCAUACAUUGACUGUUUUUGUUCCUUUCCAUUCACUUUGUACUCUUUUUUUUUUCCCCAUUAAAUUUUGCAUUUAUUUUGA